rnacentral:rRNA from 1 species
AUUGAACGCUAGCGGGAUGCUUUACACAUGCAAGUCGAACGGCAGCGCGGACUUCGGUCUGGCGGCGAGUGGCGAACGGGUGAGUAAUGUAUCGGAACGUGCCCAGUAGCGGGGGAUAACUACGCGAAAGCGUAGCUAAUACCGCAUACGCCCUGCGGGGGAAAGCAGGGGAUCGUAAGACCUUGCACUAUUGGAGCGGCCGAUAUCGGAUUAGCUAGUUGGUGGGGUAACGGCUCACCAAGGCGACGAUCCGUAGCUGGUUUGAGAGGACGACCAGCCACACUGGGACUGAGACACGGCCCAGACUCCUACGGGAGGCAGCAGUGGGGAAUUUUGGACAAUGGGGGCAACCCUGAUCCAGCCAUCCCGCGUGUGCGAUGAAGGCCUUCGGGUUGUAAAGCACUUUUGGCAGGAAAGAAACGUCGCGGGCUAAUACCCCGUGGAACUGACGGUACCUGCAGAAUAAGCACCGGCUAACUACGUG